rnacentral:rRNA from 1 species
GAUGAACGCUGGCGGCGUGCCUAAUACAUGCAAGUCGAGCGAACGGACGAGAAGCUUGCUUCUCUGAUGUUAGCGGCGGACGGGUGAGUAGCACGUGGAUAACCUACCUAUAAGACUGGGAUAACUUCGGGAAACCGGAGCUAAUACCGGAUAAUAUUUUGAACCGCAUGGUUCAAAAGUGAAAGACGGUCUUGCUGUCACUUAUAGAUGGAUCCGCGCUGCAUUAGCUAGUUGGUAAGGUAACGGCUUACCAAGGCAACGAUGCAUAGCCGACCUGAGAGGGUGAUCGGCCACACUGGAACUGAGACACGGUCCAGACUCCUACGGGAGGCAGCAGUAGGGAAUCUUCCGCAAUGGGCGAAAGCCUGACGGAGCAACGCCGCGUGAGUGAUGAAGGUCUUCGGAUCGUAAAACUCUGUUAUUAGGGAAGAACAUAUGUGUAAGUAACUGUGCACAUCUUGACGGUACCUAAUCAGAAAGCCACGGCUAACUACGUGCCAGCAGCCGCGGUAAUACGUAGGUGGCAAGCGUUAUCCGGAAUUAUUGGGCGUAAAGCGCGCGUAGGCGGUUUUUUAAGUCUGAUGUGAAAGCCCACGGCUCAACCGUGGAGGGUCAUUGGAAACUGGAAGACUUGAGUGCAGAAGAGGAAAGUGGAAUUCCAUGUGUAGCGGUGAAAUGCGCAGAGAUAUGGAGGAACACCAGUGGCGAGGGCGACUUUCUGGUCUGUAACUGACGCUGAUGUGCGAAAGCGUGGGGAUCAAACAGGAUUAGAUACCCUGGUAGUCCACGCCGUAAACGAUGAGUGCUAAGUGUUAGGGGGUUUCCGCCCCUUAGUGCUGCAGCUAACGCAUUAAGCACUCCGCCUGGGGAGUACGACCGCAAGGUUGAAACUCAAAGGAAUUGACGGGGACCCGCACAAGCGGUGGAGCAUGUGGUUUAAUUCGAAGCAACGCGAAGAACCUUACCAAAUCUUGACAUCCUUUGACAACUCUAGAGAUAGAGCCUUCCCCUUCGGGGGACAAAGUGACAGGUGGUGCAUGGUUGUCGUCAGCUCGUGUCGUGAGAUGUUGGGUUAAGUCCCGCAACGAGCGCAACCCUUAAGCUUAGUUGCCAUCAUUAAGUUGGGCACUCUAAGUUGACUGCCGGUGACAAACCGGAGGAAGGUGGGGAUGACGUCAAAUCAUCAUGCCCCUUAUGAUUUGGGCUACACACGUGCUACAAUGGACAAUACAAAGGGCAGCGAAACCGCGAGGUCAAGCAAAUCCCAUAAAGUUGUUCUCAGUUCGGAUUGUAGUCUGCAACUCGACUACAUGAAGCUGGAAUCGCUAGUAAUCGUAGAUCAGCAUGCUACGGUGAAUACGUUCCCGGGUCU